rnacentral:tRNA from 1 species
GCCUAGUUGGCUUGAAAGAUAGCGCAUCUGCCUAGUAAGCGCAAGGCUGUGGGUUCGAUUCCCACCCGGGGCG